UACGUAGGUGGCGAGCGUUGUCCGGAUUUACUGGGCGUAAAGCGUGCGUAGGUGGUGCGUUAAGUCUGUCGUGAAAGCCCCGGCUCAACCUGGGAAUGGCGAUGGAUACUGGCGCGCUAGAGUGCGGUAGAGGAGAGUGGAAUUCCCGGUGUAGCAGUGAAAUGCGUAGAGAUCGGGAGGAACAUCAGUUGCGAAGGCGGCUCUCUGGACCAGCACUGACACUGAGGCACGAAAGCGUGGGGAGCAAACAGG
rnacentral:rRNA from 1 species